AACGAACGCUGGCGGCAUGCCUAACACAUGCAAGUCGAACGAGAUCUUCGGGUCUAGUGGCGCACGGGUGCGUAACGCGUGGGAAUCUGCCCUUUGGUUCGGAAUAACAGUUGGAAACGACUGCUAAUACCGGAUGAUGACGAAAGUCCAAAGAUUUAUCGCCAGAGGAUGAGCCCGCGUAGGAUUAGCUAGUUGGUGUGGUAAAGGCGCACCAAGGCGACGAUCCUUAGCGGGUGUGAGAGGAGGAUCCGCCACGCUGGGACUGAGACACGGCCCAGACUGCUACGGGAGGCAGCAGGGGGGAAUAUUGGACAAUGGGCGAAUGCCUGAUCCAGCAAUGCCGCGUGAGUGAUGAAGGCCUUAGGGUUGUAAAGCUCUUUUACCCGGGAUGAUAAUGACAGUACCGGGAGAAUAAGCUCCGGCUAACUCCGUGCCAGCCGCCGCGGUAA
rnacentral:rRNA from 1 species